rnacentral:rRNA from 1 species
AUUGAACGCUGGCGGCAUGCCUAACACAUGCAAGUCGAACGGCAGCACAGGUGUACUUGUACACUGGGUGGCGAGUGGCGGACGGGUGAGUAAUACGUAGGGAUCUGCCUUUUAGAGAGGGAUAACUCGGGGAAACUCGAGCUAAUACCGCAUAUUGCCUACGGGUAAAAGCAAGGGCUGGCGCGAGCCACCUAGCGCUAGAAGAUGAACCUACGUCGGAUUAGCUAGUUGGUAGGGUAAAGGCCUACCAAGGCGAAGAGCCGUAGCUGGUCUGCGAGGAUGACCAGCCACACUGGGACUGAGACACGGCCCAGACUCCUACGGGAGGCAGCAGUGGGGAAUAUUGGACAAUGGGGGCAACCCUGAUCCAGCAAUGCCGCGUGUGUGAAGAAGGCCUGCGGGUUGUGAAGCACUUUAGUUGGGGAGGAAGGGUCUUUGUUGAAUAGACGAAGGCAUUGACGUUACCCAAAGAAUAAGCACCGGCUAACUCUGUGCCAGCAGCCGCAGUAA